GUCUUGGACUGUUGGACAGGUGGAACUCUCUCUGGUCAGAGCCGAUAAACACAAUCUUCCUCUCUUCUCCCGAUUAAUCCCAACCAAAAGCACCACAGGUCGUUCUUCAAUCUUUGGGAGGAAAAAUGGUAUUUUCCGCAAACCCAUUAUCUCUAAGUGUUCCAGAACCAGCUUUCGAAUCAUGGCAUCGGGAUACUGGUUACCUCGAAAUUCUCGAUGAACGAACCACAAAUCUCGAUCAUCACUCUUCUUACUCGAGCAACAACCAAAGUGAUAAGAAAACAACCACCACCGCCGCCGCUUCUAGCACCACAAAAUCUUCAUCGUCUUCAACGAUUACAUCAACGUCGACCAUUACUUAUACUUUAUUUGCAUUAAGUUUCUCUUACUUAUCAAUAAUCUUCUCUCUUUUCACUCUAAAUCCUUUUUCUAAACUCACAACCGAUGAUUUCUCAGGGAACACCCUAUCUUGGACUGUUGGAUUUAUUGGUUCUUUUGAUUCUUACUCUUUUCCUUCUACUCCUUCACAAGCUAAACUUAGGGUUCAUGAGAAUAUUAAGCGUUAUGCUCGGAAUUAUGCUACACUCCUUGUCUUGUUCUUUGCGUGUUCAUUGUAUCAAAUGCCCGUUUCUCUUUUAGGGUUGGUUUCUGGUUUAGCACUUUGGGACAGUGUUAGAUAUUGUAGUCAUCGAUGGAAUUUGGAAGAAUAUCCAUCUUUAAAGCUAACUUUGGUUCGAUUUGCUCAAUGUGAUGGCUACAGAUCAAGCAGUACAUUGCCACAACUACUUCCAGACAUUCUUUCCGGGAUAUUAAAUUUUCUGCCGGUAAGAUGGCCAAGAAAGGAGUUCUUCUAGAUAGAGCAACUGCAGUUAUUCUGUAUUGUUCCAGCGUUCAGAUAGCUACCUUUUGGGCGAUUGCCGUCGGUUAUGCAGUUAUGCUUAUGCAUGCCUCAUAACGGAAGUUAAGUCCAUCAAAGCAAUCUGCUCGGGCUGACGGGAACAAAAGGUUUCUGCAGAGCAAAAACAGGGGUUAACUACCAUAUUUUACCUCAUUACCUCAUUCCAGCAUGAUACUUCUCAGGAAUGAGAAGAGCCAAGAGAAAUCAGACUAAAGUUGCGAUUUCUGUCCUCAUGGAGAAAUCUGUAGUCCAUACAGAGAGCCAGAGCCAGGAGGGAGAGGAUUUCUUUUGAUUUAACCAUGGGUCAUAUUCACCAUAUGUUGAAGUAAGAUCAAAUUCUGUCCCAGUAGCAUAAGGAGCAUCAUGUAUAUUACUAUAAUGUUUUGCCAGUUGUAAUGUACCUGAAAUAAGAUAUCCUCCUAAAUUUCCAAGUGUUUAGAAGAUGGCUAUGUGGUUUGACUAUUAUUCCAGAGCUAAUUAAUCUGAUGCUUCUCUUCUGUGGGUCAUGCCA